rnacentral:tRNA from 1 species
AAGAAUAAGAACAAAGAAGCCGCUAACUAUCUUUUUAGUGUUAAAUCACUUUAUUCUUA